rnacentral:rRNA from 1 species
GGGUUGUAAACCGCUUUUCGGGGGGAAGAGGAAGGACGGUACCCCCGGAAAAAGUCUCGGCUAACUACGUGCCAGCAGCCGCGGUAAAACGUAGGAGGCAAACGUUAUCCGGAUUUACUGGGUGUAAAGCGCGUGCAGGCGGUUUCGUAAGUCGUGUGUGAAAGCGCUCAGGCUCAACCGGGCGAGGCCAUGCGAAACUGCGGAACUGGAGGCAGGUAGAGGCGUGUGGAAUUCCGGGUGUAGUGGUGAAAUGCGUAGAUAUCCGGAGGAACACCAGUGGCGAAGGCGACACGCUGGGCCUGACCUGACGCUAAGGCGCGAAAGCAUGGGGAGCGAACGGGAUUAGAAACCCCGGUAGUCCAUGCCGUAAACGAUGCGUACUAGGUGUUGCGGUGUCAAAACUGCAGUGCCGGAGCCAACGUGAUAAGUACGCCACCUGGGGACUACGGCCGCAAGGUUAAAACU